UACAGGGGGUGCAAACGUUGCUCGGGAUCAUUGGGCGUAAAGCGCACGUAGGCGGUUCGUUAUGUCGGAUGUGAAAGCCCUUGGCUUAACCGAGGAAGUGCAUCCGAAACUGGCGAGCUAGAGUACGAAAGAGGAUCGCGGAAUUCCCGGUGUAGAGGUGAAAUUCGUAGAUAUCGGGAGGAACACCUGUGGCGAAAGCGGCUCACUGGACCACAACUGACGCUGAUGCACGAAAGCUAGGGGAGCAAACAGG
rnacentral:rRNA from 1 species